UGCCUACGGGAGGCAGCAGUGGGGAAUAUUGCACAAUGGGGGAAACCCUGACGCAGCAACGCCGCGUGAGUGAAGAAGUAUUUCGGUAUGUAAAGCUCUAUCGGCAGGGAAGAAGAUGACGGUACCUGAGUAAGAAGCCCCGGCUACCUACGUGCCAGCAGCCGCGGUAAUACGUAGGGGGCAAGCGUUAUCCGGAUUUACUGGGUGUAAAGGGAGCGUAGACGGCUGCGCAAGUCUGAAGUGA
rnacentral:rRNA from 1 species